rnacentral:rRNA from 1 species
UACGAAGGGGGCUAGCGUUGCUCGGAAUCACUGGGCGUAAAGCGUGCGUAGGCGGCUGCGCAAGUCGGGUGUGAAACCCCGGGGCUCAACCCCGGAACUGCAUCCGAUACUGCGUGGCUAGAGGUAGGUAGGGGAGAUCGGAAUUCCUGGUGUAGCGGUGAAAUGCGCAGAUAUCAGGAGGAACACCGAUGGCGAAGGCAGGUCUCUGGGCAUUAACUGACGCUGAGGAGCGAAAGCAUGGGGAGCGAACAGG